GACGAACGCUGGCGGCGUGCUUAACACAUGCAAGUCGAACGGAAAGGCCCUGCUUUUGUGGGGUGCUCGAGUGGCGAACGGGUGAGUAACACGUGAGUAACCUGCCCUUGACUUUGGGAUAACUUCAGGAAACUGGGGCUAAUACCGGAUAGGAGCUCCUGCUGCAUGGUGGGGGUUGGAGAGUUUCGGCGGUUGGGGAUGGACUCGCGGCUUAUCAGCUUGUUGGUGGGGUAGCGGCUUACCAAGGCUUUGACGGGUAGCCGGCCUGAGAGGGUGACCGGCCACAUUGGGACUGAGAUACGGCCCAGACUCCUACGGGAGGCAGCAGUGGGGAAUAUUGCACAAUGGGCGGAAGCCUGAUGCAGCAACGCCGCGUGCGGGAUGACGGCCUUCGGGUUGUAAACCGCUUUCGCCUGUGACGAAGCGUGAGUGACGGUAAUGGGUAAAGAAGCACCGGCUAACUACGUG
rnacentral:rRNA from 1 species